UACGAAGGGGGCUAGCGUUGCUCGGAAUCACUGGGCGUAAAGGGUGCGUAGGCGGGUUUUAAGUCAGGGUGAAAUCCUGGAGCUCAACUCCAGAACUGCCUUUGAUACUGAAGAUCUUGAGUCGGGAGAGGUGAGUGGAACUGCGAGUGUAGAGGUGAAAUUCGUAGAUAUUCGCAAGAACACCAGUGGCGAAGGCGGCUCACUGGCCCGGUACUAGACGCUGAGGCACGGAAAGCGUGGGGAGCAAACAGG
rnacentral:rRNA from 1 species